rnacentral:piRNA from 1 species
UGCCUAGUGAAGGCCUGAGUUGGCCAGCAGC